rnacentral:lncRNA from 1 species
AUGGAGCUGAUGUUUCCAAUAACAAAAGAAAGCAGGUAUGAAAUGCCGUGGUUGCCAGAGGGCAGUUAUAUUAUUGCAAUUGUAGGACAGGUUCAUGAGACUGUCAUACUUUUAAAUUGUUCUCCACACUAUAUAAACUUUCAAAAAGAAAAAGACCAGGUAUUGAACUGAUUUUUUAAAUGUUGACAAGGUACUCGAUUUCAGUUUUUAACAUUGUUGCCUAUUCAAAAAGCACUUCAGACAGAUAAAGGUUAUAUUCAUCCAUCUUUCAGGAACUACACAGUGGGGUUAGCAUCUGAUGUCAAAUGCAUAUGCAUGUUUGUAUGCCUCAGUAUUGUACCCAAGCCACAAAACAAAGUCCCAAAUUAAAUGAAAGAAAACAGAAUAAGGUAUUGGAUUUCUGUACAGAGAUGGUCAAGAAAAGGAAGAACUAAAAGCUAAGAAAUAGAAACAUCUAGUACUGUCUUCAACAUGACAUUUGGAAACAAAUAUUGCAAAUUCAGUAAGUUUGACAAAGGUUAUCAGAAGAUAAAAAUCACACAGAAGAGAAAAACCUUAAAGAAGUUAAAGUUUUGUUUUGUUUUGUUUUGUUUUCUUCUCAAAUUCUACAAAAAUCUACCUAAUUAGAAGGUUGUGUAGGAUCAUCUGUGAAGAAACAUCCUCUUCCGGGUCACAUAUGUGAACAUUUUCAGUAUUGCAUUAUAUUCACCUUGGUUCCUAUAUUAAAAAAAAAAAAAAAAAAAGUUACCCAAUGCCCUCUAAAACUAUCAAGAAGAAAAAAGGUGAUUUUGGUCUAGCUAGGAGGUUCUGCAGAUAGGCAAGAACCAUGCACACUGAUGAGAGUUUAGGAAAUCUGCGGCAGAAAUGUAGAGUAGUUUUGCUGGGACUCUCUGGACUGCUGAACAAGCCAUGGAUUACAUGGGAUAGCCAGAUGAACAACAGAAUAAGAUGCACUGACUGAUUUCUAUGGUGAGCUCAGAGCAGAUUUUGAGGGAAAUCUUGGGAGAUGAGCUGCCAAACCUCAGUGUGUCCUGUUUAUAUCUUCAAUGGAACGUGUAGAUCAAGACUAGUUCAGUGACAGCUUUUUAUCAGAAGAUUAUAUGUUUUACAUAUAUAACCAGCCAAGGGUAUAUAUGGUAUAUAUGGUAUAUAUGGUAUAUAAGGUAGAUUGGUUUAUUUAAAAUAGCAAAAUAUUCAGUUCCUCCUUUGAUAUUAAACAUUAUCUUCAUGGUUACAGGUGAGAGAUGCACAUGUCUCAAAUUUAAAAUUUAUCUUUUCCUCAGAUAAUGUAUAAAGGGAAUUUCCAAGGUUAAGGGUACUUCCUAUGUGUUCUUAGCUGAUUACAGUUUUACGAAUACAAUUUUAAAAGGUGUUUAAUUCCCAGUGAAAUCAUCAAAAAUUCUCAUCUACUGUUUAAAAGACUGUUUUUCAAAUAGACAUUUAUUUUCAGAAGAAAGAAACAGCAGCUCUCCCAUAACAAAUCUAUGAGAACAAUCCAGUAUUAUCAACUUCCUCCUUGCUUUUGCUCAGAAAUCCAGGUAAAAAUUGGGAAGGUUGUUCUAUAAAUAAGCAAGCAGAGGUUAAAGCAGUACUAAAAACAUAACAGGAGACUUGGCUGAUGGUGCUGGCUCACUGAUGUUACACGGACAACAGAUAAAAUCCAUACAACUAUUUUCCGUCUGUCUCUCUGCCCUGCCAGCUUCAUGCCUUACAAUGUGUCCCUCAUAGGUCGGUCUUUUCUUUAAGCAUCUUACAGAGUCAUAUUUCAAGGGUGGGAGGGUCUUGUAGAAAAUUACACUCCAUUCAGUGUGGACAGCCACAAUUUGGUAGCAUUCUUUCAAUUUAAGAGGGUUAGGUACUGGAACUCCUCAAGAGAGAAUAUAUUUGGGUGGGUAAGGUUUUCAUCUACCCCAGCACACUCAAUAAAACCAGCCAGAGAAAGCGUUAAGGGGAUUUC